rnacentral:rRNA from 1 species
GAUGAACGCUGGCGGCGUGCCUAAUACAUGCAAGUAGAACGCUGAAGGAAGGAGCUUGCUCUUUCCGGAUGAGUUGCGAACGGGUGAGUAACGCGUAGGUAACCUGCCUGGUAGCGGGGGAUAACUAUUGGAAACGAUAGCUAAUACCGCAUAACAGUAGAUGUUGCAUGAUAUCUACUUAAAAGGUGCAAUUGCACCACUACCAGAUGGACCUGCGUUGUAUUAGCUAGUUGGUGAGGUAACGGCUCACCAAGGCGACGAUACAUAGCCGACCUGAGAGGGUGAUCGGCCACACUGGGACUGAGACACGACCCAGACUCCUACGGGAGGCAGCAGUAGGGAAUCUUCGGCAAUGGACGGAAGUCUGACCGAGCAACGCCGCGUGAGUGAAGAAGGUUUUCGAAUCGUAAAGCUCUGUUGUAAGAGAAGAACGAGUGUGAGAGUGGAAAGUUCACACUGUGACGGUAUCUUACCAGAAAGGGACGGCUAACUACGUG